GGUUUUGUAGUGUAGCGGUUAUCACAGUGGAUUUUGAUUCACAAAUAUUCCAUUAACCCCGGUUCGAAUCCGGGCAAGACCU
rnacentral:tRNA from 1 species